UGGGGUAUAUUGCACAAUGGGCGCAAGCCUGAUGCAGCCAUGCCGCGUGUGUGUAGAAGGCCUUCGGGUUGUAAAGCACUUUCAGCGGGAAGGAAGGCGAUAAGGUUAAUAACCUUGUCGAUUGACGUUACCCGCAGAAGAAGCACCGUAUAACUCCGUGCCAGCAGCCGCGGUAAUACGGAGGGUGCAAGCGUUAUUCGGACUUACUGGGCGUAAAGCGCCCGCAGGCGGUCUGUGAAGUCGGAUGUGAAAUCCCCGGGCUUAACCUGGGAACUGCAUACGAAACUGGCAGGCUAGAGUCUUGUAGAGGGGGGUAGAAUUCCAGGUGUAGCGGUGACAUGCGUAGAGAUCUGGAGGAAUACCGGUGGCGAAGGCGGCCCCCUGGACAAAGACUGAAGCUCAGGUGCGAAAGCGUGGGGAGCAAACAGG
rnacentral:rRNA from 1 species